AUGAUUUGAUUUAUAGAUUAGUAAAGCUAUACAAGAUUAAAUUUAGCAGAAGGCUAAACUACUGCUCUGGAGACAAAAAAGGAAGACAGCGAAAAUGACCAGUCAAAAUAAAGAUUAAAGAGACAAAAAAUUGUGUAUAUUUUGGUGUAGAUGAUUUAUCCUCUACACCUCAUUUUCCUAUUAUAAAACAAAAAAUGUUAUUAAACUUAAGGAUUUACCUGUAACUCCAAACUCUUUACAGAAGUUCCAUGUUUGCUCUGAGAAGUUGAAUGAACAAAUUUAUUAAAUGAUAAAGUUGUAUCCUUGAAAGAUAUGCUGGUAUUAUUGGCACAACGGGCAAGCAUUGAAUUGCAACUUGGUGAACUACAAAACACAUCAAAUUCAGUUAUAAAAAUUUGAGUAACAAAGGUCAAUUAUUUGGCACAAAUUGGAGUUAAAGACAAAGGAGAUUGUAUAUGUUAUUUACUAAGAAUUGUUUUUUAAAAUGGCCUAGCUGUAAAGUUAAACUAUACAGGGAGAGGACAAAAAUUGGAAUAGGAAAAAUGUUGAUUGCAUAUGUUGCUAUUGAAACUGUUAAGUCAAAUAAGCAUGGCUUAUGCAGACAUGUGAUAGAGAUAGUGG